GUGGGGAAUAUUGGACAAUGGGGGGAACCCUGAUCCAGCCAUGCCGCGUGUGUGAAGAAGGCCUUUUGGUUGUAAAGCACUUUAAGCGAGGAGGAGGCUACCGAGAUUAAUACUCUUGGAUAGUGGACGUUACUCGCAGAAUAAGCACCGGCUAACUCUGUGCCAGCAGCCGCGGUAAUACAGAGGGUGCAAGCGUUAAUCGGAUUUACUGGGCGUAACGCGCGCGUAGGUGACCAAUUAAGUCAAAUGUGAAAUCCCCGAGCUUAACUUGGGAAUUGCAUUCGAUACUGGUUGGCUAGAGUAUGGGAGAGGAUGGUAGAAUUCCAGGUGUAGCGGUGAAAUGCGUAGAGAUCUGGAGGAAUACCGAUGGCGAAGGCAGCCAUCUGGCCUAAUACUGACACUGAGGUGCGAAAGCAUGGGGAGCAAACAGGAUUAGAAACCCGGGUAGUCC
rnacentral:rRNA from 1 species